rnacentral:rRNA from 1 species
AACUGCUGCACAAGGAGUGUUCGAUUGGACUCCUUUUCACACAAUGAACAACCAGCUUAGAACUGAUGCGGGCAAGGGGAAUCCGACUGUUUAAUUGAAACAAAGUAUUGCGAUGCCCUGAAAGGAUGUUGACACAAUGUGAUUUCUGCCCAGUGCUCUGAAUGUCAAAGUGAGGAGAUUCAACUAAGCGCGGGUAAACGGCGGGAGUAACUAUGACUCUCUUAAGGUAGCCAAAUGCCUCGUCAUCCAAUUAGUGACGCGCAUGAAUGGAUUAAUGAGAUUCCUACUGUCCCAAUCUACUGUCCAGCGAAACCACAGCCAAGGGAACGGGCUUGGGUGAGUCAGCGGGGAAAGAAGACCCUGUUGAGCUUGACUCUAAUCCGACUUUGUGAAAUGACUUAGGAGGAGUAGGAUAUGUGGGAGCUCAGGUGAUCUUGAAAUACCACUACUUUUAAUGUCACUUUACUUACUCUAUCCAACUGUGCCCUGCCUCACAGCAGGUUUUUGCUUUUAAGGUUGCUCUUUUGGCGUGUUGAUUUGCGUAAAAGACGUCGUCCGGUGGGGAGUUUGGCUGGGGCGGCACAUCUGUUAAAGGAUAACGCAGGUGUCCUAAGGUGAGCUCAAUGAGAACAGAAAUCUCAUGCGGAUCAAAAGGGGAAACGCUUGCUUGAUUUUGCUUUUCAGUGUGAAGAUAAACUGUGCAAACAUGGCCUAUUGAUCCUUUAG